CUCCUGUGCCAACCUCCCAAGUGCAAAGGUUGACAUUUCUUUAAGUUGUGCAUCUGGGGAAUCGAGCAUAUCAAUUAAUGGCCGGACAGCUCCUCUUUGAACUAUAUGCACCUUACAAUCUGAAUCAGCAGCAGCAAAUUGACCCAAUAACAAUGCUGCUUCUCUUUGGCUUUCAGAACAGCUGCAGCUAAGCAAUCCAAUCACUGGUUGUAAAGCUCCAGCAAGAAGAACUUCUUUCUUUAUGUUGGGGGAAGAGUGGACCAGAUUUCCAAUAACACCAACCGCUUCAUAAUGGAUGGUAGUAUCCUCUGAUUGAAGCAUCAGUAUAAGAGUGGGUGCAUUCUACAAUCUGAUUUUUGUUUUCAUCAUUUUUAAAUGCAAGGGUCCGCAAUGCCCCUGCAGCUGCUCUCUGUAUCUUUACAUCAACACACUCAAGCAAUUCAAC
rnacentral:misc_RNA from 1 species